AGUGAACGCUGGCGGUAGGCCUAACACAUGCAAGUCGAACGGCAGCACAGUAAGAGCUUGCUCUUACGGGUGGCGAGUGGCGGACGGGUGAGGAAUACAUCGGAAUCUACUUUUUCGUGGGGGAUAACGUAGGGAAACUUACGCUAAUACCGCAUACGACCUACGGGUGAAAGCAGGGGAUCUUCGGACCUUGCGCGAUUGAAUGAGCCGAUGUCGGAUUAGCUAGUUGGCGGGGUAAAGGCCCACCAAGGCGACGAUCCGUAGCUGGUUUGAGAGGAUGAUCAGCCACACUGGAACUGAGACACGGUCCAGACUCCUACGGGAGGCAGCAGUGGGGAAUAUUGGACAAUGGGCGCAAGCCUGAUCCAGCCAUACCGCGUGGGUGAAGAAGGCCUUCGGGUUGUAAAGCCCUUUUGUUGGGAAAGAAAAGCAGCAGGUUAAUACCCCGCUGUUCUGACGGUACCCAAAGAAUAAGCACCGGCUAACUUCGU
rnacentral:rRNA from 1 species